GACGAACGCUGGCGGCGUGCCUAAUACAUGCAAGUUGAGCGCUGAAGGUUGGUACUUGUACCGACUGGAUGAGCAGCGAACGGGUGAGUAACGCGUGGGGAAUCUGCCUUUGAGCGGGGGACAACAUUUGGAAACGAAUGCUAAUACCGCAUAAAAACUUUAAACACAAGUUUUAAGUUUGAAAGAUGCAAUUGCAUCACUCAAAGAUGAUCCCGCGUUGUAUUAGCUAGUUGGUGAGGUAAAGGCUCACCAAGGCGAUGAUACAUAGCCGACCUGAGAGGGUGAUCGGCCACAUUGGGACUGGGACACGGCCCAAACUCCUACGGGAGGCAGCAGUAGGGAAUCUUCGGCAAUGGACGAAGGUCUGACCGAGCAACGCCGCGUGAGUGAAGAAGGUUUUCGGAUCGUAAAACUCUGUUGGUAGAGAAGAACGUUGGUGAGAGUGGAAAGCUCAUCAAGUGACGGUAACUACCCAGAAAGGGACGGCUAACUACGUG
rnacentral:rRNA from 1 species